rnacentral:rRNA from 1 species
UACGGGGGGAGCAAGCGUUGUUCGGAUUUACUGGGCGUAAAGGGCGCGUAGGCGGCCACGACAAGUCACUUGUGAAAUCUCCGGGCUUAACUCGGAGCGGUCAAGUGAUACUGUCGGGCUAGAGUGCAGAAGGGGCAACUGGAAUUCUCGGUGUAGCGGUGAAAUUCGUAGAUAUCGAGAGGAACACCGGUGGCGAAGGCGGCCUUCUGGACAGCAACUGACGCUGAGACGCGAAAGCGUGGGGAGCAAACAGG